GCUGCUGCGUGCGUGCGCGCGCGCCGCGGGCGGGCCAGUGAAACCGGCGGCCCUGGCACGUGACCUAGGACCGGCUCACCGGGUCGCUUGGUGGCUCCGCUGUCUGUCCGUCCGUCCGCCCGCGGGUGCCAUCAUGGCGGACGCGGCCAGUCAGGUGCUCCUGGGCUCCGGUCUCACCAUCCUGUCCCAGCCGCUCAUGUGGGAUAUGAGCCUCUUCCUCCAACAAUAGGACGAAAUAUUUUUGGGCGGCAAGUGUGUCAGCUUCCUGGUCUCUUUAGUUAUGCUCAGCACAUUGCCAGUAUCGAUGGGAGGCGCGGGUUGUUCACAGGCUUAACUCCAAGACUGUGUUCGGGAGUCCUUGGAACUGUGGUCCAUGGUAAAGUUUUACAGCAUUACCAGGAGAGUGACAAGGGUGAGGAGUUAGGACCUGGAAAUGUACAGAAAGAAGUCUCAUCUUCCUUUGACCACGUUAUCAAGGAGACAACUCGAGAGAUGAUCGCUCGUUCUGCUGCUACCCUCAUCACACAUCCCUUCCAUG
rnacentral:sRNA from 1 species